UUCAAACGUCUCCUCUCACUUCUCUUCUCUCUAUAUUCUCUCCCCUUUUCCCUCUUUAACCUACCUUUUUCUUACUAAUUUCUCUUUCAAGAACACUCUUUCUCAGCAAAUUCGAGUGUUUUGAGAUAAUAUGGCAAAGAAUAAUCAAAGAGUUUAUAAAAGAAGGCCUAGAAAAAAGGCUAGGCCAACGGAAGAAGAGUUUGCUCUGGCUAGAGAAGCAGAUACGUUUCCAUAAGCUCAGGUAACAGAAGAAAUGACCUCAUGAGCUCCUAGUUCAGUUAGAGAAAAAGAAAGUGCAAAAGAUGAGGAAUCAAUAGAUCAGGAAGAGGAAAUUGAAAGUGGAAAAGAAAGUGCAGAAGUUGAGGAAUCAACCGAUCAGGAAGAAGAAAAUGAAAGUGAAAAAGAAAAUGCAAAAGAUGAGGAAUCAACGGAUCAACAAGAAGAAAAUGAAAGUGGAGAAGAAAGGGUAGAAGAGAGUAAAGAAGAAACAAAUCAUGAUGUACUUUUUGAAUAAAGAAAAAAAGUAUUACAUGAUGAGAAUGUUGCCCCUUCAAGAUCAAAUUUUGCUGAUGAUUCUAAUACUGAGGUGCCCGAAUGCAUCAAGUCUAUUGAUCGUACAAAGUAUCGCUUCAUGAUAAAUUAUUCUAUGCAUGGUGAUUUUCCGGGAAAGAUUUUGUAAAGUAACCUCUAAGAGGAAAAGCAUUUGUUGAAUUCAAAGGAGUUCUGGUAGAAUAGGGUAUUUCAGAUAGGUUCAAAAAAAGUUAUUUCGGGCAUUUCCUUGAUAUUCCAAUGCAGUGAAUGAAUUUCGGGUCGCUGAUAGUUCAUGGUCUUCUACUCCGACGUAUCAUUUGUGAGAAAAAGCUGGAACUGUGGUUUGAACAUGAAAAUAUGCAUGUUUGUUUUGGCUUGAGGAAAUAUGCCUUGAUGACCGAACUACGGUGCCACUCCUUUCCUUCUGGAGAAGCAUUGGCUAAUCUGCUAAAGAAUGGCGAACCACUGUGGAAAUUUGUUUCAAAGAAAGGAAAAACCGUUAAUGCUAACUUUCUCCUUGAAAAGAUCAAAUCACCUGAAACACCAAAAAAAUUAUAAGUUUUCACUUGCAUUGGUUUGGUUCUAUCACUGCAUCAUAUGUGCAAAAGAUAUAUCCAGUGGCAUUGAUGCCGACAUGAUCAAGCUAGCUUGCAAUCCCUCUAUCUUCAACGAAUAUCCAUGGGUCUCAAAAGCUAUCUUUUGACUGUUGAGUAUCUUACGAAGCCAAUAAUAUCCUAAUACAACCUCUACGGCUUUCCGUGGGCGUUCCUGGCUUGGGCCUUUGAAGCUAUUUCGAAACUUCAACAAAAUGCUAAGAAUGUUCCCCCUGAGAGGAUAUUGCCACAUAUGAUCAGGUGGAUGUCGGAUGGAGGCCUAAAAAAAUCUUCAGAUCAAUUCACUGCUACUGAUGAAAAGGUAAGGCUCUAAAACACGUUAAACAACCCGAGACUUGCUUAAACAACCUGAGACUUGCCUAAACAACUUGAGGUUGUUUGAACUAAACAACAUUCAGUUGUUUAAUAAACAUGAGGUUGUUUAUAAAGGAAGACCAUAAUAUUGACUUUUUUGUUCUUUCUAUGCAGGUAGUGUUGACACCUAAUUUUUGACCUCCCAUAGUUUAUUUUAAUUGCUUAGAGUCCUUGGAUAUCAAAAAGGAGUAAAAUGUGUAUUUUCUACAAGUCAAAAUGAUUUUAAAAAAUUAUUUCGAUAAUAUUUUGACAUUUCAUUUGGCAAAAUAACUUCAAUAAUAUUAUAAAUCAUUUAGAAAUCAAUUUACAUUUUUUUAUAAUUAAUAUGGAACAUUUUCUAAAUUCAAUCAAGCGGAUAAUCCAAAACAAUUAUUUAUUUAAAUGUUAAAAUUAUCAGAAAAUCAAUUAGCAAGCAUGUUACUCCGUUUAAUUCAAGAAGUCUGAUUAAUUAACUAAGUUAAUCAUUUUACCCCUUAAUUCCUAAUUUUGUAUAUUCAAUUUGCAUUUGUGCAAUUUCUUGAGUUAAUCAUAAUUAAUCAAUUGUCUAAUUGUGGUUAAUUUCAUAAAUCUGCUUUCUAUAUGAUUAAUUGGGGCUAUAAUUGAAAUAAUCAAUUUGUGGGAUAAUUUUGGCUUUAAUUGAAAUAGCCAAUUCUCAUUGCUUAAAUCAAUUGAGGUCAUUAUUGAAAAAUUAGCCUUUAAAUUGUGUAGUUAGUUUAAUCCUGGCCUUAAUUGAAAUAACUAAUUUCAUGGCUUAAGUCAAUUGAGGUCGUCAUUGCAAAAUUGGUCUUUAGUUGUUAGAUCAGGAUAACUGUGGCCAUAUUUUAAAUAAUCAAUCUCAUGACUAUGCUUGCAAUUAAGUUUGUUACAUAAUUAACUGUGUCUGGACUUUGGCCAAUUGGUUAAUCCAUUAUGUUUAGUCGUAAUUAAGGAGUUUAAAUUAACUAGCUUCCUUAAUUAUGGCCAUUUAUUUAAACCAAUGUUGAGUCCUUCCCAUAUAUAUACACACAAAUACAUGUAUAUGUAUGCAUAUAUAAAUCAUUUUUUUGCGCGGAUUGCCCUUCUUUGGGGUGGUCUUUAAAUUUUAUCCCUCAUAUUUGUGGUCUUUAAAUUAUGCCCCUCAUAUUGCUGGUCUUUAAUUUUUGCCCUUCGCUUAGAUACCUGAGUUUUUGGGUUCGAACUCCCGCUCAAGCAUAAAAUAAAAAAAUAAUUUCGCAAGGCAGGAUUGGGGGGAGUAUAUGCCGGAUCCGGCAUACAAUCCUUAAGGAAAAAUUAAAGUUAUGUCGGAGGGGGCAUAACUAUUCCUCAGUUAUGCCUUAUGGGGCAAAACUUUUCCUUAAGAAACUAUGCCUUAUGAGGAAGAUUUUUAAUUAAGGCAUAACCAAAAGUAUGUCCCGUAAGACAGAACUUUUCCUUAAGGCAUAGACUUUGCCUUAUAAGGCAAACUUUUAGUUAUGCCUUAAGGAAAAGUUCCGCCUUAUGGAGUAUACUUUUAAUGGGCAAACUUUUAUGCUGGACC